GGAUGCGGUGCGGUGGUUUCGCCAUGCUACAUGAAUGUGAAUAUGAAUAUUGAUAUGAUGAUGUCGGGAAGUUUUGAAAUUGCCUUCAUUUUCCAAUGAUGGAUUCUUCAUCAAUCUUCAUCUCUUUUUUAAGACUUCACGCAUUAUAGGUGCAGAUGACGCAUAUGAGUAUUUCUGUGAAAAUUCUAGAUCUAACCACACGAUCACAAUUUCAGCCCUUGAUCGAUGGCUUGCCACGACGUCAGUUAAACUUUGCCAUACAUACUGCUUAUUCCGCAAACAUGAAAUGACUGCCAAUUAAGAUUAAUGUUGUGGAUAGCAUGAGAAAAUUAUGUGAUUAAUACGAAACGUGAAUAAAGUGUACUGCAUAUUAGCGUAAAUAUAAACUAUGUAAUGUAAGUUAUUAAAAUAAAUAUUUUAUAUAUUAUUAUAUAAUAUAAAUAUAAUAUAAAUAUAAUCUAAAUAUAAAUAUUAAGCAAUAAUAAGCAUUUGUAACGUGCAUUCUACAUAAUUUCUUGUUGAUUCUUGUUGAUUUGAAACUGUUUAUAUCAAUUACAUUUUUGGCAACUGUAGUUGCCACACAAAAGUUACAUUAAUUAUGUUGCAGAAUGCAAGUAUAUAAAAAUAAUCAAUAUUUUGGCGCUAUAUGACAAUUUAAUUGCAACAUUACCUAUACUCUUAAAAAUAAUACAUUAUUGAAAGGACCAUAUUUUAUAGUGUUACUUGGACAUAUUUUGGUGUUAAAAUUUAUGAAAAAUAAUUAUUAAAUGUCGCAGAUUGCAUAUGCUAAUAUAUUAUACUUAAUGUAAAAGGAUGAUUAAUAUAUUAUAGAAAUAUGCGUAAACGCGUGGUCAAAAGGUCUUUGUAGUCUACGUAGAGAUUUAAUGGACGAUAACCGAUAUUCUAACUAGUCCAUCAGGAAUCGUGGACAUAUCGAUCAAUUUCAGAUGAUAAUUAUCGGUGCACUCACAUGGAACACAGACGCUAUAAUUUUAUUAACUAAUGUAAUACUACGCCACCGAGUCGCCUUUGAUAUUAAUUGUGCAUGCCAUUACAACAUUAUUUGAAUAUAUUUAGCGCAAUCUUUUCUUGAAAUAUUCUGGUACCAUGCAAUAAGUAUUGAAAACAAAAUUUCUUAUUAUAUUAUGUAUACAUAUAUAUUUACAUUAUAUUUUUAUCAAGUUAUUUUCUUGUGUAUGAACUGUGUUAUAUUGUGUGAGUUUAUGCAAUCUAUUGUAUAGAUUGGCUAUAUAUAUAUAUUGACUUAUUAUAUUAUAUUUAUUAAGCUGCUACUUUAAUACUGAUUAAUUUUAUUUCUUCUGAUAUAAACUGUGAUUAAUGUUACAAAAUGUAAUUUUUUUUUUGAUCUAUUAUCAUUCAAUUUUUUACUCUGGAUAUACAUGUGAUUAAAACGUCGCUUCCUUUUUAUCCGUCCAUUUAUAAUAUCUAUUUAUAUUCUAAUAAUAACUUUAUUGAUUAUAUGAUAUACUUAACUCUUUUCUCGCCAAAAAAUAAAGUAUUUCUAACACAUUGCA